rnacentral:rRNA from 1 species
GCAAGGAAUUUUGCACAAUCGACGCAAGUCGGAUGCAGCAACGCCGCGUGGGGGAUGAAGGCUCUCGGGUUGUAAACCCCUUUUGCGAGGGAAGAAGAUCUGACGGUACCUCGCGAAUAAGUCACGGCUAACUACGUGCCAGCAGCCGCGGUAAUACGUAGGUGGCGAACGUUGUCCGGAUUCACUGGGCGUAAAGCGCGCGCAGGCGGACUGAUAAGUCAGAGGUGAAAUCUCCCGGCUCAACUGGGAGGGGCCCUUUGAUACUGUCAGUCUUGAGGCACCUAGAGGAGAGUGGAAUUCCCGGUGUAGUGGUGGAAUGCGUAGAUAUCGGGAGGAACACCAGUGGCGAAAGCGACUCUCUGGGGGUGACCUGACGCUGAGGCGCGAAAGCGUGGGGAGCAAACGGGAUUAGAUACCCGGGUAGUCC